GACGAACGCUGGCGGCGUGCUUAACACAUGCAAGUCGAACGGAAAGGCCCUGCUUUUGUGGGGUGCUCGAGUGGCGAACGGGUGAGUAACACGUGAGUAGCCUGCCCUUGACUUUGGGAUAACUUCAGGAAACUGGGGCUAAUACCGGAUAGGAGCUCCUGCUGCAUGGUGGGGGUUGGAAAGUUUCGGCGGUUGGGGAUGGACUCGCGGCUUAUCAGCUUGUUGGUGGGGUAGUGGCUUACCAAGGCUUUGACGGGUAGCCGGCCUGAGAGGGUGACCGGCCACAUUGGGACUGAGAUACGGCCCAGACUCCUACGGGAGGCAGCAGUGGGGAAUAUUGCACAAUGGGCGGAAGCCUGAUGCAGCAACGCCGCGUGCGGGAUGACGGCCUUCGGGUUGUAAACCGCUUUCGCCUGUGACGAAGCGUGAGUGACGGUAAUGGGUAAAGAAGCACCGGCUAACUACGUGCCAGCAGCCGCGGUGAUACGUAGGGUGCGAGCGUUGUCCGGAUUUAUUGGGCGUAAAGGGCUCGUAGGUGGUUGAUCGCGUCGGAAGUGUAAUCUUGGGGCUUAACCCUGAGCGUGCUUUCGAUACGGGUUGACUUGAGGAAGGUAGGGGAGAAUGGAAUUCCUGGUGGAGCGGUGGAAUGCGCAGAUAUCAGGAGGAACACCAGUGGCGAAGGCGGUUCUCUGGGCCUUUCCUGACGCUGAGGAGCGAAAGCGUGGGGAGCGAACAGGCUUAGAUACCCUGGUAGUCCACGCUGUAAACGGUGGGUACUAGGUGUGGGGUCCAUUCCACGGGUUCCGUGCCGUAGCUAACGCUUUAAGUACCCCGCCUGGGGAGUACGGCCGCAAGGCUAAAACUCAAAGGAAUUGACGGGGCCCCGCACAAGCGGCGGAGCAUGCGGAUUAAUUCGAUGCAACGCGUAGAACCUUACCUGGGUUUGACAUGGAUCGGGAGUGCUCAGAGAUGGGUGUGCCUCUUUUGGGGUCGGUUCACAGGUGGUGCAUGGCUGUCGUCAGCUCGUGUCGUGAGAUGUUGGGUUAAGUCCCGCAACGAGCGCAACCCUUGUUCACUGUUGCCAGCACGUUAUGGUGGGGACUCAGUAGAGACCGCCGGGGUCAACUCGGAGGAAGGUGGGGAUGACGUCAAGUCAUCAUGCCCCUUAUGUCCAGGGCUUCACGCAUGCUACAAUGGCUGGUACAGAGAGUGGCGAGCCUGUGAGGGUGAGCGAAUCUCGGAAAGCCGGUCUCAGUUCGGAUUGGGGUCUGCAACUCGACCUCAUGAAGUCGGAGUCGCUAGUAAUCGCAGAUCAGCAACGCUGCGGUGAAUACGUUCCCGGG
rnacentral:rRNA from 1 species